rnacentral:tRNA from 3 species
GCCAGUGUGAUGGAAUGGUAGACUUGGAAGAUUCAAAAUCUUUUGCCGUAAGGCGUGUCGGUUCGAGUCCGACCACUGGUACCA